CAUGUCUUCAACAUCUGGAAAACUCCAAUGCACACAUGUGAGAGUAUAAUAUGGACUUUGGAGCUGGGCAGCCCUUUUGUGACCAUGAGGCAACAUUGAAGAUGCAAGCCACAUGCUAAGACAGAAGAAAAUAAAGACAGAACUAAGCUGGGGCAUGUAUGACAUUUCAAGCUCUCAGAUCAGCCCUUGAUGGCCACCAUCCAUAUUUAUUGACAUGAAAAGAAGUCCUCAUUUUGUCAAAGCCAAUGAUAUUCAGGACUGUUAUUAAUAACAAAAUACAAUUCUUCCCUCUACCCACUACAGUGUAUCAUGAAACUCUUCAAACAUAUAGGAAAGUUGAGUAUGGAAUCUCUAUCUCCAGCCUUGAGGUCUCACCUGGACUCUUGGUUAUUCAAUGGACUACUCUGCAUCUCCAUGUGCAUCUCUAAUAUAGACUCCUCAACCUUAAUGUAUCCACAACUGAACCUUUGGUUCUGUACCACUCCCGUCUUGCUCCUUGUCUCUCCGUUUCCCCAUCUCAGAAAUUAACAACUUCAUCUUUCCAGUUACUUUUCCUUCCUUCCUUCCUUCCUUCCUUUCCUUCCUUCCUUCUCUCUCUUUUCUUUUUUGAGAGUCUCACUCUGCCACUCAGGCUAGAGUGCAGUGGUGCACUGCAACCUCCACCUUCUGGGUUUUAGUACAGACAGGGUUUUACCAUGUUGGCCAGGCUGUUCACGAACUCCUCACCUUAAGUGAUCCACCUGCCUUGGCCUCCCAAAGUGCUGGGAUGACGGGCGUGAGCCACCGUGCCCGGCCCAUCUUUCCAGUUUCUUGGGACAAAAACCAAAGAUCUACUUUUCUCCUUUGCCAUAUGAGGACACAUUUAAAAGGCUGUGAACAAGGAUGCAGGCUCUUACCAGUUACCAAACUGCUGGUGCCUUGGUCUUACAUUUCCCAGCCCCCAGAGUGCAAGAAAAAAAAUUUUGGUUGUUUAUAAACGACUCAGUCUUGGUAUAUUUGUCAUAGCUGUCUGGGCAGACUAAAACAUGCACAUAAACAACCCUGUUUUCUGCCUUAACAAAUCAGGUAUUUAAAUAUAUGUUCCUGAUUCUUCCCAUAAUGUGUCAUUUGUAAUUUCAGUAAUAUAAUUUCAGACUGUUUAAAAAGCUUUUUGUUCAACCCAGUUUUACAACUGGAUUACUGAGUUGUCUAAAAUCCAAAACACUAUCAUUUAAGCCAGCAUUUUAGAUGCCUGAUCGUUUCAGUCAGGGUUCUCCAGAGAGACAGAACCAAUAGGGGAUACAGACAUGAGAGGGCAUUUAUUAAGGGAAUUGACUCAUGCAAUUAUGUAGCCUGAGAAAUCCCAUGACGGGCCAUCUGCAAGCUGGAGACCCUGAGAUUCUGGCAGCAUGGCUCAGUCAAAGUGUGACAGCCUCAGAACCAAGCUGAUGGCGUAACUCAGUCCAAAGACCCAAGGCCUGAGAACCUCAGGGCCACUGGUAUAAGUCCCAAAGACCAAAGGCCGGAGAGCCUGGAGUUGUGAUAUUGAAGAGCAAGAGAAGAGUGUUCCAGAGAGACAGAGAGAGAGAGAGAAUUCACCUUUCCUCUGCCUUUUGCUCUGUUGGGCUCACAGCUGAUUGGAAGGUGCCCAAAGAUAUUGAUGGCAGAUCUCUUCCACUCAGUCCACUGACUCACAUACCAGUCUCCCCUGGAAACACCCUCAGAGACACAUCCAGAAAUAAUGCUCCAUCAGUUGUCUAGGUAUUCCUUAACCCAAUCAAGUUGACACCUAAAAUUAACCAUCACAUUGAUUUACUUCCCGAAUCCUCUAUCCCAACUCUCAAAUAUGGUUUCAGGAUUCCUG
rnacentral:lncRNA from 1 species